rnacentral:rRNA from 1 species
GAUGAACGCUGGCGGCGUGCCUAAUACAUGCAAGUCGAGCGAACAGACGAGGAGCUUGCUCCUCUGACGUUAGCGGCGGACGGGUGAGUAACACGUGGAUAACCUACCUAUAAGACUGGGAUAACUUCGGGAAACCGGAGCUAAUACCGGAUAAUAUAUUGAACCGCAUGGUUCAAUAGUGAAAGACGGUUUUGCUGUCACUUAUAGAUGGAUCCGCGCCGCAUUAGCUAGUUGGUAAGGUAACGGCUUACCAAGGGGACGAUGCGUAGCCGACCUGAGAGGAUGAUCAGCGACAUGGGGACUGAGACACGGCACGAAAUCCUACGGGAGGCAGCAGUGGGGAAUCUUGCGCAAUGGGGGAAAGCAUGACGCAGCCAUGCCGCGUGAAUGCUGAAGGUCUGAGGAUUGUAAAAUUCUUUCACCGGGGACGAUAAUGACGGUACCCGGAGAAGAAGCCCCGGCUAACUUCGUG